rnacentral:lncRNA from 1 species
GGGUACCUUUUCUAGCCGGGACUUUUUGGUAUUUGAAAUAUUACAGUCUUUGUUUUCACUAGUACAUUUGUUGUCAGUUUUGGGUUUGUUUUUCAUGAAGUUAGUCUAUUAGCUUGCCAAUUUGAAGUUGUUUUAUAACUAGAUAUUCUCUACUGAAAGUUUUAAAUUUGGUUUGUUUUUUUUUUUUUGGAUUAGUAAACAGUCAUUUCUGUAGACAAUUCCUAAUUGAAAAUAGCAGAAUUGUUUUAUAUUCCUAGGAUUCUAAGUCUAACCUAGAUCCUUAAUAUACUCACAGGACUUUUAAAACCCUUUCCUAACUAGGAAGGAAAUACCCUGUUGCUUUCAAAUACUGUACUUUAUUUGCCAAAAGUUGUCUUUAGAAAAACAAAUCUUAAUAGGCAUCUUCCUCUGUCAAGUGUCAGCCCUUUGGCCAUUUACCUUAGGGCUCUUCUAAUGAGAGAGGCAGAGAGAAAACCUGUCUCUGAAAGUUUGAAGACUAAUUUGUUGCCUCACGGGCUGACCAGUUUCCUGGUGUGUUACCUGCUUCUGCUACUGAUCCAAACUGCAGAACUUAUUCAUCCCCAUGGCCUCCAGACAGUAUCCAAUGGGGAAUCCGAUCUAAAAGGAACCAGACCUACGUUUUCCAGCCCUUCAUUCUGGUUUCUUGGACUGGAGACAUUUCUUUAAUAAUAGCGUGUCUCUGAUAUUCCCAGUAACAACUACUAUCGAGGAAAGGAUAGAAAACGUUCAGGACAUCAUCAUAUAGACUCCUCAUCUACAAAGUUCAGUAACGGUGACGCCUACACAGAAGACUUGGAACUGCAAACAGGCUGGGGUCACCUCAGUGACAUCUCUUGAUGCACAAACAGAAGUUUGAUUUUUGUUUCGGGGGUGCAGAAGGAAGCAGACUGUAGUAAAACACUAAAGUAAUUUUAUGUCUAUACUUUCUCACUUGUUUUUUUUUUGUUUGUGGUUAUUUUGGCGGGAGAGGGAGGGUUUGGGGAUAGAAUUUCACUUCAUGUCUGGAGUGAAGGGGAGAGGGGGAAGCUCAGCCCUUCACCCAAGAAUAACCCAGUAAUGACAUCUUUAUGCGUGGGAAGUGUUUCCCUCCACACUGGGAGGAUCUAAGGCUGCACCCCAGUGGGACUCCCUGCUUGAGUUGGAAGGCCGUCCAGAGGGCGAUGGCAAGUCUUAGCGGAGCGCCGAGGGCUUAGCCUGCCAGGGAUGAAAUGCCAAAGAAGCGAGAUGAGGUCAAAGGGACGUCCCCCAGUUUGGAGGUGGGGGCUGUGCUGUAUGUGACUUAAGAGCCUGGUGCCCGUUGAGCCCCGUGCCCUCCGCUGAGGGUCUGACACGGAAGCGACGCUUCUGGGCACCGAGUCUGAGUCAUGCGAAACGGCCCAGCGGUGCCCAGGCGGCCAGCGCCAGACCCUGGCGUCCUCCAUCUUCUCUCCUGAGCUCCCCCUGCUUCAGCUGCCAGAGCCGCGGACCGCAGCACCACACACCCCCGCGGGGGGGGACGCCGCGCCCCAUCCCCGCCCCCGGCCCC